rnacentral:tRNA from 5 species
GCCCUGGUGGUGUAGUUCGGCUAUCAUGAAGCCCUGUCGAGGCUUCGACUCGGGUUCAAAGGCAUUUAAUACUGAAAAUCCCGGCCAGGGCG